rnacentral:rRNA from 1 species
UACGUAGGAUCCGAGCGUUGUCCGGAUUUACUGGGUGUAAAGGGUGCGCAGGCGGACUAGUAAGUCAGAGGUGAAAUCUCGUCGCUCAACGACGAAACUGCCUUUGAUACUAUUAGUCUUGAGUUCGGUAGAGAUCUGUGGAAUUCCGAGUGUAGCAGUGAAAUGUGUAGAUAUUCGGAAGAACACCAGUGGCGAAGGCAGCAGAUUGGGCCGAUACUGACGCUCAGGCACGAAAGCAUGGGGAUCAAACAGG